rnacentral:miRNA from 1 species
UGUGUGUGUGUGUGUGUGUGUGUGUGUGUGUGUGCACGCAUGCACGCGCGCACACACACACACACACACACACA